AUCAGUAAUAGAGACACACCUCCAAGUAGGGAUAAAGACUUGGGAAGAAAAAGGUUUUCACCGAAGGGAGGCAAAGCCCUGAAGCAGAAAAAACAUGGUAGCAGUGCCUCCUAUGAGGCCGAUUCUCUCCUCCCUGCGACUGAUGAGCAGGCUGGAGACGCAAGGCAGCGGCCCUCUCGUUUAAUUACGGAAAAAUCCCAAGCGAAGGACCAGGACUCCUGGGGGGCUGAGGUUCGAGAUACAAACACGACGGCAUCACCACAAGCAUCGACCACCCCUCGACCUCAGAGCCAAGCGAAUGACCCUUCCUCCACCGACGAAGAGGGAUCAACGUUCGCUGAAACGUCUUCGGUGUCUGCUGCUGAGGACCACGAGACGACCAUCUUUAGCACCGUCAUCGAGGUGGAGACCCCCACAGCUUCAGGCCUACAAACCUCUGGUACAGGAGGAGACGGGGAGUCAUCCAGUCAGGAUACGACUUCCUCUAGUGGGCCAGAGGGCUUUCAGAUAGCAACACAAGACACUCAGCUCUACGGCCCAACCAGCGAAUCAGAGUUGUAUGUCUCCUUAAAGGCGGGAACAGGGAACGAGGGUAGCGCUGGUGAGCCGAAGCAGCCAGAGGUAACGCAGUUGGAAACACUCGAAGCACCUUCACCUACGACGUCCUCUGGAGAGGGAGAGCCCAUCUCGGGGGAUGAGAAGGUAAGAGGUAGGGCCUCGGAUGUGCAAACUGGAGCACUGGAUGGUGGGAUUGAUGGGAUGGAUCUGAUGCCAGAGAGAUCUGAGGUGGAUGAACUUGUGCCGCGUGUGAACGUAGAGUACACGUCUUAUCCAACCGAGAUAGCUGUCACAUCUUCUCAUGGUGAGGCACUGAGUGGGGAGGACGUGGAUGGAGAUAUUGGUCUGGAUGCACAGACGGGGAUGAGCGCAGCAGAGAUAGGCCAUGACCAGGUGCUCGAGGUGGGGCCCGACGAGGGCCCCACACCGCCCGGCUGGUCCGGUGCCAGACGUGGAACCGAGGGAGAGACGGAGACAGAUAUCCACGACGAGAAAGGCAUCUUGUAGAAGCUGAAGGCACCAGGAUGUCUACGGUCCAGCUGGACUCCAGACAUCUGCAGCAGCAGGACAAGGCCGCCAACCACACUUAUCACUACACAACAUACAGUCCUGGGAUCAGAGGCCAGAGGGGACAUCAGGGCCUGCCUGGGUUAACUGGACUUGCUGGACCUAAAGGAGACAAAGGCUAUGAAGGAGGGAUGGGCAGGACAGGGAGGACUGGCUACAGAGGCCCCGUCGGCCCUCCCGGGAUGCCCGCCAUUGUGGUGUUCAAAACGUCUGAAGAAGAGUGGCAGGCCUUCAAGAAAAAGAAGAUCUACAAGAAGCUGGUUUCAUCUUGGCCG
ensembl:lncRNA